UUUGUAUAAUGGGUCAGCGACUUAUAUUCAGUGGCAAGGUUAACCAUCUAGGGGAGCCGUAGGGAAACCGAGUCUUAACUGGGCGUUCAGUCUCUGGAUAUAGACCCGAAACCAGGUGAUCUAGCCAUGGGCAGGUUGAAGGUUGAGUAACAUCAACUGGAGGACCGAACCGACUAAUGUUGAAAAAUUAGCGGAUGACUUGUGGCUAGGGGUGAAAGGCCAAUCAAACCUGGAGAUAGCUGGUUCUCCCCGAAAGCUAUUUAGGUAGCGCCUCGGACGAAUACUACUGGGGGUAGAGCACUGUUAAGGCUAGGGGGUCAUCCCGACUUACCAACCCUUUGCAAACUCCGAAUACCAGUAAGUACUAUCCGGGAGACACACGGCGGGUGCUAACGUCCGUCGUGGAGAGGGAAACAACCCAGACCGCCAGCUAAGGUCCCAAAUUACUACUAAGUGGGAAACGAUGUGGGAAGGCUCAGACAGCCAGGAUGUUGGCUUAGAAGCAGCCAUCAUUUAAAGAAAGCGUAAUAGCUCACUGGUCGAGUCGGCCUGCGCGGAAGAUGUAACGGGGCUAAGUAGUAAACCGAAGCUGCGGCAAUGUGCUUUUGCACAUUGGGUAGGGGAGCGUUCUGUAAGCGGUUGAAGGUGUGUGGUAACGCAUGCUGGACGUAUCAGAAGUGCGAAUGCUGACAUGAGUAACGAUAAAGGGGGUGAAAAACCUCCUCGCCGGAAGACCAAGGGUUCCUGUCCAACGUUAAUCGGGGCAGGGUAAGUCGACCCCUAAGGCGAGGCCGAAAGGCGUAGUCGAUGGGAAACGGGUUAAUAUUCCCGUACUUCUUACAAUUGCGAUGGGGGGACGGAGAAGGCUAGGUGGGCCUGGCGACGGUUGUCCAGGUUCAAGUGCGUAGGCUUAAGAGUUAGGUAAAUCCGGCU
rnacentral:rRNA from 1 species